AACGCACAUUGCGCCCGCCAGUAUUCUGGCGGGCAUGCCUGUCCGAGCGUCAUUUCAACCCUCGGGCCCCCCUCUGCGGGCGGCCCGGCGUUGGGGCUCAGGCGCCGUCUCUGCUCGGCGCCUGUCCCCUAAAUGCAGUGGCGGCCUCGCCGCUGCCUCCUCCGCGUAGUAGCACAAACCUCGCGGCUGGAAGGCGGCGCGGCCACGCCGUAAAACCCCCCAACUUUACCAAGGUUGACCUCGGAUCAGGUAGGAAUACCCGCUGAACUUAA
rnacentral:misc_RNA from 3 species